CUGUUCGCGCAAUUCAAAGUCUUUGAAUCAGAUUCCGAAGCAGUCACGUGGGUGUGUGUCCCAAACGAAGCUUCAGACGUCACACUCACAAACUGAGGCCUCGUUUGUCAUCAGUCACAUGAUUUUUAUGGAAACGACACAAGCCUCGAAUCGGGGCUUCAUCUGGCACGCCCCUUUCUGCUCGACACAAGCUCCGAACCCUCGCUUCAUUGGGCACAUCACUAGCUUCGAGCAUCACUUUGAGCACAGAGUAGUGUUGCUGUGCCCUCUCACUGUGUGUCUCCGUAGCUGUCAGACCUCCUGCGGUUCCUGAGAGAGGUGAAGUGUGUGUGUGUGUGUGGAGGCAGCGAGGACCCUUUCAUGUCAUCCUCGUCGUAACAUGGCUCUGUUCCUGAGACUCUCCUGAAGACUCCUUUGACACCUGACACCUGGGCACGGAUCAAAAGCUUCACCUGGAAAACACUGAGCCCUCCACUGCUGCUUGUUUCCACCAGGUGCUGAAGCUGGGUGGAGCCUGCUUCAAAAAAGCGCUUGGCCUUGCAGCUGCGGAGAUGAAGACGUCAUCGGAGGCGGGCUCUACUCAAAACAGCCAAUAAGAGAGCAAACGAGUGGACGAUAUUUAACCCAUGAACGAUGUGUGACCUGUGAUCACUGUAUAGACCCCUGAACUUUGUGUAAACCUCUGAACUUGUGUUACGGUGAAAAGUUCGCACACUUGGCAGCAACAGUGCUGACUAGCAUAAGAUAAGAGCGAACAACAAUCCUUUCAUAGCGCCACCUGUGGGUUUGGAGAUGCCAAGCGUUGUGUCAGCAUCUAAGGAGGGGCGUAAAUAUUGGUGUUCAACAAUUGUUCGGGAGUACGAUUGUACGAUCCAC